GGCUGGCGAAGGGCCAACGCGACUUCUCGGGCCUCGCCUCGCGGGGGCGAUGGGCUGUAGCCGAUGGCUCUAGCGAGGCCACCUCUUAGAAGCCUUCCCGCCCGACGCCGGCCGCCUCAGUCCCCGGCUCCGGACCCCGCCCAGCUCGGGUUCUAGGCCCCCGGCUGUAGCCACGCGGGCCCCUUCCUGGGUCAGGGUUUUACUCAUUCUUUCAUUUAGUAGACACUCGGUUGUUGGACACCUGCUAGCAGGGCUGGCCCUGGAGAUGCAGAGAGGGGCGAUCCAGCCGUGGUCCCUGCCCUCAGAAUGCACAGACUGAUGGGAGGGCAGGCAGAGGGGUGCUGCUUCCCCGGGUGGGCUAAGUAGAGGCCGUGGGGCCUACGCAGACACGGGUGGGGAAAAGCCAAUGGUGGAGACUUCAAGCAAGUAAAAGAGUAGGGAGGAGUGUUUCAGGUCAGAAUCCUCCGCAAAAACUGUGAUGUAGGCAAAACUUGUCUAUUCAAACUGUAGAUGAGAUGGAAGAAGCCCAGCAGGGGCAGGACGCAGAAGAUGGCAAAGGAUUCUGGCAUACCUGGGCAUGCCCAGAACACCCGUGGCAGGACCCACUGGAGGUCUGUUUUCAUGAGAAGGCAGCAUCCUAGAAAAGAAUCCCUUCUUCAGGCAACGCCAAAGAGAAGCCCAAGGG